GACGUAGGGCGCGAGCGUUGUCCGGAUUUAUUGGGCGUAAAGAGCUCGUAGGCGGCUCAGUAAGUCAGGUGUGAAAACUCCAGGCUCAACCUGGAGACGCCAUCUGAUACUGCUGUGGCUAGAGUCCGGAAGGGGAGCAUGGAAUUCCUGGUGUAGCGGUGAAAUGCGCAGAUAUCAGGAGGAACACCAGUGGCGAAGGCGGUGCUCUGGGCCGGAACUGACGCUGAGGAGCGAAAGCGUGGGGAGCAAACAGG
rnacentral:rRNA from 1 species